rnacentral:rRNA from 1 species
AUUGAACGCUGGCGGCAGGCCUAACACAUGCACGUCGAACGAGUGGCGGACGGGUUAGUAAUGUCUGGGAAACUGCCCGAUGGAGGGGGAUAACUACUGGAAACGGUAGCUAAUACCGCAAACCAUCGGAUGUGCCCAGAUGGGGUUAGCUAGUAGGUGGGGGAAAGGCUUACCUAGGCGACGAUCCCUAUCUGGUCUGAGAGGAUGACCAGCCACACGGGAACGGAGACACGGGCCAGACUCCUACGGGAGGCAGCAGUGUGGAAUAUUGCACAAUGGGCGCAAGCCUGUUGCAGCCAUGCCGCGUGUAUGAAGAAGGCCUUCGGGUUGUAAAGUACUUUCAGCGAGGAGGCGUUACUCGCAGAAGAAGCACCGGCUAACUCCGUGCCAGCAGCCGCGGUAAUAC